UAGGAGUCGUUGUCUUUAUGGGCCUAAGUGAAGCCUAGUAAUAUUGGGCUUUUAUCAGGGGCCGUUUUAAAAAAGCCUGUGUAUUUAGUCUGUUAUUGCAAAGGAUUGUCGAUGGCGGAUCUGACACUGUCGUUACCGAACAAGAAGAGUAAACUCAAACUGAAACAGAAAGUCCGAAACUUUUAAGAUGACAGUGACAGAUUUCAAAGUGGUGCUAGAGACAUUGACAUUCCCUGCUGGUUCAGCUCCCUUCAAGAGUUGUCAUGCAUCUACCAUCGUUGAGGUUGAAGAAGAUCACUUUUUGGCUGCUUAUUUCGGAGGUACGUAUGAAGGAGCAUCUGAUGUCAAAAUCUGGUUGCAGCAUUUCAAGGAUGGUCAGUGGGAAUCACCGGUUAUUGUAGAUGAAGAGCCAGGCGUUCCAAUGUGGAACCCUGUCUUGUUCAAGCUUCCUUCGCAAGAGCUCUUAUUGUUCUACAAAAUCGGCCAGGAGGUUCAAAAAUGGAGCGGUUGCAUGAAACGAUCAUAUGACAAAGGUAGAACCUGGACCAACAGAGAACAGCUUCCUCCAGGGAUUCUCGGACCCAUUAAAAACAAGCCUAUCUUGCUGGAAGACGGGAAUCUCCUCUGUGGAUCAUCCGUUGAAAGCUGGAACUCUUGGGGAGCGUGGAUGGAGGUCACUUCAGAUGCAGGUAGAUCAUGGAGAAAGCAUGGCCCUAUAUACAUUCAAGGAAAGAGUCUUAGCGUGAUCCAACCGGUUCCAUACCAAACCGCAGCUGGGACAUUACGUGUUCUACUCAGAUCAUUCACCGGCAUUGACAGAGUCUGUAUCUCAGAGUCUUCUGAUGGUGGUGAGAAUUGGAGUUUCGCAACAACGACUGUUCUCCCAAACCCUAAUUCAGGUAUUGAUGGAGUCAAGCUAAAGGAUGGUAGGCUAGUGCUUGCUUACAACACCGUAUCAAGAGGUGUGCUCAAAGUAGGUGUUUCUUUAGACGAUGGUGAUUCUUGGACCGAUGUUUUAACGUUGGAGGAUACUCCGGGAAUGGAGUUUUCGUAUCCGGCGGUUAUACAAGCCGGAGACGGGGAUGUCCACGUCACUUAUACGUAUAACAGGACACAGAUUAAGCAUGUAGUGCUCAAGAGUGCGACAGAUAUUGAUUCAAGCUAUACCGGAAACACUGAGAAGAUGGUGGAGGACUCGUGGGUUUGGAAUACAUGAGAUUUCAGCUCGUGAGUUGAUCAUUUGUUGGCAGCCUGUUAUGUAUAUACGUAAACACAUCUUUUGUAUCAUUCUCGAUCAGGUUCAACAUCUUAACUCCAUGUCGUCUUCUUCUACGGGUCUGGAGAAACAAUACCAUCAUGCCAUUGAGCUGAAUACCCAGACUUAUUAAACAUGUAAUUAAAGUUUAGAGAUCUAGAGUUUAGCAAUUCAGGCGUCAGGUCUCUCUUCCCCAACGGCGAUGGAAUUAAAGAAAAUGUUACUAGGAUCGUCCAUAUACUUCCUCGACUCUUCACAUCAACUAGUUGCAUGUGUGAUAAUUUUCCAAAUUGACAAGAGAUCAUCUUUUUUUUUUUUGGAACACGACAAGAGAUCAUCUAUUCCUAUUAGUUUCUCAAAAAAAAAAAGCAUCUAUUCUUAUUAAA